rnacentral:rRNA from 1 species
UCGAGGAUCUUCGGCAAUGGGCGCAAGCCUGACCGAGCGACGCCGCGUGCGGGAUGAAGGCCUUCGGGUUGUAAACCGCUGUCGUAGAGGAGGAAGGCCGGGUGAAGAGCCCGGUUUGACCUAUUCUAGGAGGAAGGGUGGGCUAAGUUCGUGCCAGCAGCCGCGGUAAGACGAACCACCCAAACGUUAUUCGGAAUUACUGGGCUUAAAGGGUGCGUAGGCUGUGCGGAAAGUUGGGUGUGAAAUACCUCAGCUUAACUGAGGAACUGCGCUCAAAACUACCGUGCUCGAGGGAGACAGAGGUAAGCGGAACUUAGGGUGGAGCGGUGAAAUGCGUUGAUAUCCUAAGGAACACCGGUGGCGAAAGCGGCUUACUGGGUCUCUUCUGACGCUGAGGCACGAAAGCUAGGGUAGCGAACGG